rnacentral:lncRNA from 1 species
AGAGGAAGUUCUCAGAAGCUUGUUGAAAGUUCCCUUGCUUGGUCUCGCGAAUAGGAGAGGCUCACAUUUCGUGUGUCGAUAGUCGGAGCAAGCUCUCUUCGAGUUAGCAAGGUGCUCUGCUUGGUCUCGUGAAUAGGAGAAGCUCGUGAAUCGUUGGUUGAUUACUGGAGCGGUUCUCUUUGAGUUGGCUGAGUGUUAUUCUUCC